rnacentral:lncRNA from 1 species
AUGGGAAAGAUUAAGGGCUAUAAAUUCUGCAUCCAAACAGAGGCAGAACCACAGCAUCAACUGUCAGAAGCUCUGAAGGAGCUAUUUCUUCUGACUCAGAAAUACAUGUAAAUAGAGAAAUAUCCUGGGAAUUCAGAUAUAUGAUAUGAAAGUCAUGCUUUCUGGUUGUGAAAGGGACCACAAGUAAGUCCUCCAUGUGCACACAGAUUGGAUCUUCAAUUUAAAAACAUCAAAAUGUGAAUUAUACAGAGGCUAUCCAGCACUAUGGGUAAGUACAUUGGCCUUUCAUGUCUUAUUAUGUUGUUAAUUAGUUAAUGUUUGUAAAGCACUUUGAAGAUGAAAAGCCCUAUAUAAGUUCUAAGUGUUAUUAUCUCUAGAGACCUGGGUUCGAUUCAAAGGUGCCUAAUUACAUAUGCCAUAAAUUAGACUUAAUGAGUUGUAGAAUCAUACAAAGCAUAUGAUGCAUGCAGGUUUCUCAGAUAGAUCUUGGCCCUAUGGUUUCCUGCAGUGCUUCCUUCGGUAUUCAGAGCUGUUAAGAAAAAUUACACAAGAAUAGAGCAGAUAAUCUCUAAAAAUAAUUGGAUUACAUUUUGGUAUUAUUUAGGACUUGGUGAAGCAAAUUACUCUACCAGCAGCCUUGCUCUGCUGAACCUAGGGUUUUUCCAGUAACCAACUUCAAAUUGCUGAAGUUAACAUGAUUGUUUUUAAGCUGUGGUAUAGACAUAAUUCAAAUUCUUACUUCUGUUCCAUAUCUGGUCUUAGCAGAAGGGAGCUGAGCAGUAUAAUAUGACUGCUCUCCUUCCAAUAAUGCCCUAAAAUGUCCCAUCAGGGCUGGGAACCUCUCAGUGUUGGGUAAUGUUCACAUGCAAAAGAAAAAAGUUCCCAUCUUUAGAGAUACUAUCAUACAAUUUACAAUAAGCCAUUACAAGUGGGUAACGUGCAAAAGGGGGAAGUAGCAGUUAUAGGAAAAUGCGGUUUCAUUGGCUUUGCAGAGCUGAGAGUUUCCAUGUUAUGUAACUUACAUAUUC